rnacentral:rRNA from 1 species
UACGUAGGGUGCGAGCGUUGCCCGGAUUUAUUGGGCGUAAAGGGCGCGUAGGCGGCCACGCACGUCCGUUGUGAAAUCGCUCGGCUCAACUGGGCGGGGUCAGCGGAUACGGUGUGGCUAGAGCAAGCUAGGGGGCAAUGGAAUUCCCGGUGUAGUGGUGGAAUGCGUAGAUAUCGGGAGGAACACCUGUGGCGAAAGCGGCUCACUGGACCACAACUGACGCUGAGGCGCGAAAGCUAGGGGAGUAAACAGG